rnacentral:rRNA from 1 species
AUUGAACGCUGGCGGCAGGCCUAACACAUGCAAGUCGAGCGAGCGUCGGACGGGUGUGUAAUGUCUGUGAAACUGCCUGUUGGAGGGGGAGAACAACUGGAAACGGUAGCUAAUACCGCAUAUCAUCUGAUGUGCCCAGAUGGGAUUGGCUGGUAGGUGGGGUAACGGCUCACAUGGGCGACGAUCCCUCGCUGGUCUUAGAGGAUGACCAGCAAAACUGGACUGGAGACACGGUCCAGAAUCCUACGGGAGGCAGCAGUGGGUAACAUUGCACAAUGGGCGCAAGCCUGAUGCAGCCAUGCCGCGUGUUUGAAGAAGGCCUUGGGGUUGUAAAGCACGUUCAGCGGGGAGGCGUUACCCGCAGAAGAAGCACCGGCUAACUCCGUGCCAGCAGCCGCGGUAAUAC